UAGUCCACGCCGUAAACGAUGGAUACUAGGUGUCCGGGAUAUUAACCUCCUGGGUACUACAGUUAACGCGUUAAGUAUCCCGCCUGGGGAGUACGGUCGCAAGGCUAAAACUCAAAGGAAUUGACGGGGGCCCGCACAAGCGGUGGAUUAUGUGGUUUAAUUCGAAGCAACGCGCAGAACCUUACCUAGGCUUGAAAUCCCUCGAAUCCCGAGUAAUUUUGGGAGUGCCCGCAAGGGAAUGAGGUGACAGGUGCUGCAUGGCUGUCGUCAGCUCGUGUUGUGAAAUGUUGGGUUAAGUCUCGCAACGAGCGCAACCCCUAUCUUUAGUUGCCAGCAUUAAGUUGGGCACUCUAGAGAGACUGCCCGGGUUAACCGGGAGGAAGGUGGGGAUGACGUCAAGUCCUCAUGGCCCUUAUGCCUAGGGCUACACACGUAAUACAAUGGUGCAUACAGAGGGAAGCGAUCGGGUGACCGUUAGCAAAUCUCAAAAAGUGCAUCUCAGUCCGGAUUGGAGUCUGCAACUCGACU
rnacentral:rRNA from 1 species